rnacentral:rRNA from 1 species
CCUACGGGUGGCUGCAGUGAGGAAUAUUGGUCAAUGGGCGCGAGCCUGAACCAGCGACGCCGCGUGAGGGAAGACGGUCUUCGGAUUGUAAACCUCUUUCAGCAGGGAAGACAAAAGGACGGCAUCUGCAGAAGAAGCUAUGGCUAACUACGUGCCAGCAGCCGCGGUAAUACGUAGGUGGCAAGUGUUAUCCGGAAUUACUGGGUGUAAAGGGUGUGUAGGCGGGUGUGCAAGUCAGAUGUGAAAAUUAUGGGCUCAACCCAUAACCUGCGUCUGAUACUACAGGUCUAGAGAGUGGGUGAGGUAGGCGGAAUGAGCGGUGUAGCGGUGAAAUGCGUAGAUAUCGGGAGGAACACCGGUGGCGAAGGCAGUUUACUAAACCGCAACGGACGCUGAGGCACGAAAGCGUGGGUAGCAAACAGGAUUAGAUACCCCAGUAGUC